AUUUGGAACAUUGUGGAGUUUCAUGUUCACCGUUUUCCUCCGAUGUCUUUUUUUUGUGGUUAAUGAUAUUUCAGUGUUGAGAUGCGUGCGCUCCCCAGUCCGGAUGCACCGUUAUCCGCAGUUCAGGUGCGCGCUCCUCUCCGAUGGUUACUUCCCACUGGGUUAAACCGGACAGUGAUGCAGAAAACAUGCUCGCUGUUGGCAUGGAAAUGAGGAAAGGGGCUCGUCUUUUAUCUGUGGCAUUGAGGACCCCAAUACAUCAGACCAAGCAGUGUCCCCCACGCCAGUUUGCCUGCAGGAAAAACCUCUGGUGGUUUACUGCAUACCUCAGCAUUUCAUGGAUUUGAACUGAUUAAAUCUCUAUCCUCACAGUGACCACUCAGCUAUACAGGAAGGUAAAAAGAACCAGAUGUUCAUUUGUGGGCCUAAGUUUGUUCCAAGGGCCUGAAUAAAACACUGUCAUGUACACAGAGCGGAGGAGCAUCCCAGCAGGCAUCUGGUGAAUUGCAAAGCCUCUGCGUUACCUCCUUCUGCCACUUGGGGGUGCUGUCUACAUUUCAGAAUGUCCUCUGCGUAUAUCGAAGGGCUGCUUCCCUUACAGCCAAAAAUAUUGUUUGUUGAUUUUUUUUUGUCUUCAUCUGGAAUCAAACUAUGUUAACUGAAGAUAUCUGAAGGUUUUGUCUGCUGAUCUACAUCUACAGUGCACUGAUAUCCUAUGUAGGGUGUACUUUGUGCCCUGUGCAUUCUGAGAUAGGCUUCUGUGCUGCAUAUGUGGUUAUGGAAAAUGAAUAGAUGGAUGAUUCAUAUAUAUUGCGUGUGAUUAGUAUCUUGCCACUUCUGGGACACGUGAG